rnacentral:snoRNA from 1 species
UCUCUCUCUACCCCUCCCUUCCUCUCUGAAAUAAAUAAAUAAAUAUAUGUAUAUAUGUAUAUAUAGAGAGAGAGAAAGAGAGAGAGAGAUUUAAAAAGUGCAAUAUUAAAACAAAAGUGGAGUCUUUUAAGCCCAUUGUGUAAAGACACACUCUGAGUUAUAACUCAGUGGCACUCCC